rnacentral:rRNA from 1 species
AGAGUUUGAUCAUGGCUCAGAAUCAACGCUGGCGGCGCGCUUAACACAUGCAAGUCGAACGAGAAAGUGGAGCAAUCCAUGAGUACAGUGGCGUACGGGUGAGUAACACGUGGGUAAUCUACCUCCUAGUGUGGAAUAACCCUGGGAAACCGGGGCUAAUACCGCAUAAGCUCGAGAGAGGAAAGCAGCAAUGCGCUGGGAGAGGAGCCCGCGGCCGAUUAGCUAGUUGGCAGGGUAAAAGCCUACCAAGGCAUAGAUCGGUAGCCGGCCUGAGAGGGCACACGGCCACACUGGCACUGAAACACGGGCCAGACUCCUACGGGAGGCAGCAGUGGGGAAUCUUGCACAAUGGGGGCAACCCUGAUGCAGCGACGCCGCGUGAGCGAUGAAGCCCUUCGGGGUGUAAAGCUCUUUCGGCAGGGAAGAUUAUGACGGUACCUGCAGAAGCAGCUGCGGCUAACUACGUGCCAGCAGCCGCGGUAAUACGUAGGCAGCGAGCGUUGUUCGGAGUUACUGGGCGUAAAGGGUGUGUAGGCGGUUGUCUAAGUUUGGUGUGAAAUCUCCCGGCUCAACUGGGAGGGUGCGCCGAAUACUGAAUGACUAGAAUGCGGGAGAGGAAAGUGGAAUUCCUGGUGUAGCGGUGAAAUGCGUAGAUAUCAGGAGGAACACCGGUGGUGUAGACGGCUUUCUGGACCGUAACUGACGCUGAAACACGAAAGCGUGGGUAGCAAACAGGAUUAGAUACCCUAGUAGUCC